rnacentral:lncRNA from 1 species
UAAUCAAGUUUGUUAUCGUGACUAUGGACUCUAAGAAAAGACAGAAGUAUCAAAAAUGUAACGAGGAAGCUGUUAUGGUCGCUGUCGCUGAUGUUCAAGAAAAUCAUUUUUUAUGGUAAAAGGCAAGUUUAAAAUGUACCUUCUCAGACAUUCGGUGAUAGAAUAAAUGGCAAAUACGGUGCCGCCAAGCAAAAGAUAGGUCGCGAACUUGCUUUAGAAAAAGAGGACAAAGAAAGAGUAAAAGACUUUUUGAAUAAAGCAGCAAAAAUAGGAUAUGGUAUUUGCCAAAACGAUGUACCAAGCAUAGUAAAAAAUUAUUUAGACAUUAAAGAAAAGCAGCAUAUAACAGAGCAUCAAGUUAACAAUAAAAAAAAACAACCGAUAUGACAGCUCAUAGAAAGUUUGUGAAUAAUCUGCAAAGCAAGUUUUGGAUCUACAGGUUUUUCAGGUAUUCAGACCUUGCAAGAAGAAUGCCUGAAAAUUUGGGCCACCAGCGGCGAAACGUUUAAAACGACAUUGGGAAGGCUGAAAAUAAUAGUCUCAAAGGGUAUAAAGAAUGUUUAUCGCAUAGCCCCUGACACAAAAACGCCAAUAACAGUUCUUGGCUGUGCAUCCGGAAAUGAAAACUACUAAAAACCUCAAGUUAUAUUUCCAGGAGCACAGCCUCGUUACAAUUUAGACCAUGUAAAUCCAUCUGACUUAUGUUCUUCAAUUUAGACCAUGUAAA